rnacentral:rRNA from 1 species
UACAGAGGUGGCAAGCGUUGUUCGGAAUUACUGGGCGUAAAGGGCGCGUAGGCGGCCUUCUAAGUCAGACGUGAAAUCCCCCGGCUUAACCUGGGAACUGCGUCUGAUACUGGAAGGCUUGAGUGCGGGAGAGGGAUGUGGAAUUCCAGGUGUAGCGGUGAAAUGCGUAGAUAUCGGAAGGAACAUCAGUGGCGAAAGCGACUUCCUGGACCAGUACCGACGUUCAGGCACGAAAGCGUGGGGAGCAAACAGG